GUCUACUGCCAUGCUACCCUGAACAAGCCCCAUUCUGUCUGAUCUUGUAAGUUAAGCAGGGUCAGACCUGGUUAGUAAUUGGAUGGGAGACCACCUAGGAAGCCAGGUGCUGUAGGUG
rnacentral:rRNA from 1 species